rnacentral:lncRNA from 1 species
GGCAGGAAACUUGGCCGCCUCUGCUCAAUUUUCUGCUGCCCUUUUGUUCUAUCAUCUGCCCAGCCACUGGUGGGAGGAGGCUGAUAAAUUUCCGCUGUUAGUUGGAUGAGAAACUUCCAUAUCUGUGACAAUUAUAAUCAGAUUGCCUUUUGGAAGAGAAAUAUGGACAGUGACUGCAGUCCUUGCUGUCAUUUUUUUCUUGCUAGGCUGCUCGGGAUCUUACUACCUAUUUUUUUUACCUGAUGUUUUGUAGACUAUACGUAACUGUAAGAACUUCAGAAAUGUUUUGAUUGCAAGCACAUCAUUUUAUUUACAGAAAAUAACUCCAAAAGGAGUUUUCUAUUGUAAUCACUUCAAUCAAGUAGCAAGGUUGGCAAGUUUGACCUGGAUUCGGCUUCCCCAGUGGCUCAGUGGUAAAGAAUGCACCUACCAACUCAGGAGACACAGGAGAUGCAGGUUUGAUCCCUGGGUUGGAAAGAUUUCCUGGAGAAGGGAACAGCAACCCACUCCACUAUCCUUGUCUGUGGACAGAGGAGCCUGGCAGGUACAGUCCAGGGAGUUGCAAAGAGUUGAACACAACUUAGCAACUAAACAACAAGAAAACAAUUUGGAUUGAACUCAUAUCUUGCCUCCAAAUUCAGAAAUCAAUUGAACGCUGGGUUUCUAAUUUGUGGAGAAUGUUAUGAAAAGAAAUGUGAUAGUGUUCCUAUUUUCUGUUGAUGCCUCAUUAUCCAGAAUCUUCAGCGAAAGAGAUGUUCCAUGUGACUGAUUUCCUACUUACAAAAGCUUAUUGUUUUAAGCACCAAGACUUUAGUAAAAUCACUUUGAAUUAAAGCUUGAAAAAAUUGCAUACUUCCUUAUCUUAAACAGUCUGCUGACUAGAACUGUACCCCAUUUUGUGCCUCAAAAUUAUGAGAGGAAACGAAACAGUGAAUUGUAAUUCAGUUAUAUAUUUGGAGAUGGUGA